GACGAACGCUGGCGGCGUGCUUAACACAUGCAAGUCGAACGGAAAGGCCCUGCAUUUGUGGGAUGCUCGAGUGGCGAACGGGUGAGUAACACGCGAGUAACCUGCCCUUGACUUUGGGAUAACUUCAGGAAACUGGGGCUAAUACCGGAUAGGAGCUCCUGCUGCAUGGUGGGGGUUGGAAAGUUUCGUCGGUUGGGGAUGGACUCGCGGCUUAUCAGCUUGUUGGUGGGGUAGUGGCUUACCAAGGCUUUGACGGGUAGCCGGCCUGAGAGGGUGAUCGGCCAGGUUGGUCCUGAGAAACGCCCGGGAAUCGAAAGAGAGCCAGCAGUGGAGAAAGUUGGCAGAGGAGAGGAAGACGCAUGCAGCAACCUGACGUGGGGAAUAGGGGCCUUCUGGUGGUAAACCGCUUUCGCAUGAUACGCACCGAGAUUGACAGUACCGGGUAAAGAAGCACCGGCUCACUACGUG
rnacentral:rRNA from 1 species